rnacentral:rRNA from 1 species
GAUGAACGCUGGCGGCGUGCCUAAUACAUGCAAGUCGAGCGAACGGACGAGAAGCUUGCUUCUCUGAUGUUAGCGGCGGACGGGUGAGUAACACGUGGAUAACCUACCUAUAAGACUGGGAUAACUUCGGGAAACCGGAGCUAAUACCGGAUAAUAUUUUGAACCGCAUGGUUCAAAAGUGAAAGACGGUCUUGCUGUCACUUAUAGAUGGAUCCGCGCUGCAUUAGCUAGUUGGUAAGGUAACGGCCUACCAAGGCAACGAUGCAUAGCCGACCUGAGAGGGUGAUCGGCCACACUGGAACUGAGACACGGUCCAGACUCCUACGGGAGGCAGCAGUAGGGAAUCUUCCGCAAUGGGCGAAAGCCUGACGGAGCAACGCCGCGUGAGUGAUGAAGGUCUUCGGAUCGUAAAACUCUGUUAUUAGGGAAGAACAUAUGUGUAAGUAACUGUGCACAUCUUGACGGUACCUAAUCAGAAAGCCACGGCUAACUACGUGCCAGCAGCCGCGGUAAUACGUAGGUGGCAAGCGUUAUCCGGAAUUAUUGGGCGUAAAGCGCGCGUAGGCGGUUUUUUAAGUCUGAUGUGAAAGCCCACGGCUCAACCGUGGAGGGUCAUUGGAAACUGGAAAACUUGAGUGCAGAAGAGGAAAGUGGAAUUCCAUGUGUAGCGGUGAAAUGCGCAGAGAUAUGGAGGAACACCAGUGGCGAAGGCGACUUUCUGGUCUGUAACUGACGCUGAUGUGCGAAAGCGUGGGGAUCAAACAGGAUUAGAUACCCUGGUAGUCCACGCCGUAAACGAUGAGUGCUAAGUGUUAGGGGGUUUCCGCCCCUUAGUGCUGCAGCUAACGCAUUAAGCACUCCGCCUGGGGAGUACGACCGCAAGGUUGAAACUCAAAGGAAUUGACGGGGACCCGCACAAGCGGUGGAGCAUGUGGUUUAAUUCGAAGCAACGCGAAGAACCUUACCAAAUCUUGACAUCCUUUGACAACUCUAGAGAUAGAGCUUUCCCCUUCGGGGGACAAAGUGACAGGUGGUGCAUGGUUGUCGUCAGCUCGUGUCGUGAGAUGUUGGGUUAAGUCCCGCAACGAGCGCAACCCUUAAGCUUAGUUGCCAUCAUUAAGUUGGGCACUCUAAGUUGACUGCCGGUGACAAACCGGAGGAAGGUGGGGAUGACGUCAAAUCAUCAUGCCCCUUAUGAUUUGGGCUACACACGUGCUACAAUGGACAAUACAAAGGGCAGCGAAACCGUGAGGUCAAGCAAAUCCCAUAAAGUUGUUCUCAGUUCGGAUUGUAGUCUGCAACUCGACUACAUGAAGCUGGAAUCGCUAGUAAUCGUAGAUCAGCAUGCUACGGUGAAUACGUUCCCGGGUCU